rnacentral:misc_RNA from 1 species
AAGAAAAAAAAAAAAAAAAAAAUUAAAAAAAAAAAAAAAAAAAAAAAAAAAAAAAAAAAAAAAAAAAAAAAAAAAAAAAAAAAAAAAUUGGAAAAAAAAAAAAAAAAAAAAAAAAAAAAUGUCAAAAAAAAAAAAAAAAAAAAAAAAAAAAAAAAAAAAAAAAAAAAAAAAAAAAAAAAAAAAAAAAAAAAAAAAAAAAAAAAAAAAAUU